rnacentral:tRNA from 1 species
CGGGGAGUAGCGCAGUUGGCUUAGCGCGCUUGCUUUGGGAGCAAGAGGUCGCGGGUUCGAAUCCCGCCUUCCCGA